GCAUUUUGUACCAAAUUUAUAUUGCAGACUUCUCAGUAUAUCCAGGUUUCUGCAGUCAACAGGUUUUGUACCCAUUGAACUGCAGCUAUACACCAGAUAACAUGAUUCUUUUACAGUGUUUUAAAAGGGG